rnacentral:misc_RNA from 1 species
AAUCAGGAUCUUCAUUUCCUAUUUCUUCAACUCAGCUGCUUCAGGCUGCCUCCCCUCAAUUAUCUCAGCAUUCAUCUCCACAAGUUGAUCAGCAAAAUCUACCAUCAUCUCUAACAAAAACCGGAACCCCUUUACAGUCUGCAAAUUCUCCUUUUGUUGUCCCAUCUCCUUCAACUCCUUUAGCUCCAUCCCCUAUUCCAGGAGAUUCUGAGAAACCAGUAUCUGGUAUUUCCUCUCUUUCAAAUGCUGGAAAUGUUGGACAGCAACAAACAACUGGUGCUCAAGCAACUGCUCCAUCCCUUGCAAUUGGCACUCCUGGGAUAUCGGCCUCACCUUUGCUUGCAGAGUUUACCGGUUCUGAUGGUGCACAUGGCAAUGCUUUAACCACUGCUUCUGGCAAGUCAAGUGUCACAGAGCAACCUCUUGAGCGCUUGAUUAAAGCGGUUAAGUCUAUGUCCCCUAAAGCACUGAGUGCCUCUGUCACUGACAUUGGCUCAGUUGUCAGUAUGAUUGACAGAAUUGCAGGAUCAGCCCCAGGUAAUGGAUCUAGAGCUGCAGUGGGUGAGGAUUUGGUAGCAAUGACAAAUUGUCGGCUUCAGGCAAGAAAUCUUACCAUCCAAGAUGGAAUGACUGGGACAAGGAAAAUGAGGCGAUAUACAAGUGCCAUGCCCUUGAAUAUUGGAUCAUCAGCUAGUAGCAUAAGUGACAGUUUUAAGCAGUUGAAUGGUCCAGAGACAUC